rnacentral:lncRNA from 1 species
AAUGUUUCUGGAAAAUGGAAUUCAGGGCAUGAAGGGAAGAGCUAGUCCCUGGAGCUUGGGGAGGUAUGGAUGAACACCGCAUGUAUUGAUGGAAUUUGUGCUGGGCCAUUAAGUAUUUAUCAAUGGAUACACAUGUGACUUGUUUUCAAGACAUGGGGCCUCACCAGCCUUUGUUCAUAUCUUCAGGUUUGUUUUCUUUUCGUUGUACAUGAUUGUACUUUUUUGACGGGGUGUAGGGGCGGAGAGGGAGGAGAGACAGACUCCCAAGCAGGCUCCAUGCUCAGUGUGGUGCCCAACGUGAGGCUCAAUCCCAUGAACAGUGAGAUCGUGACCUGAGCUGAAAUCAAGAGUCAGACACUAGGGGCUCCUGGGGGGCUCAGUCAGUUGAGCGUCCGGCUUUGGCUCAGGUCAUGAUCUCAUGGUUCGAGGGUUUGAGCCCCGUGUCGGGCUCUGUGCUGACAGCUAGCUCAGAGCCUGGAGGCUGUCUAAGGAUUGUGUGUCUAUCUCUCUCUCUCACCCUCCUCUGCUGACGCUGUCUCUCUCUGUCUCAAAAAUCAAUAAAAUAUUAAAAAAAAAAAAAAGAGUCAGACACUUAACUGACUGAGCCACCCAGGCGCCCUAUUUUCUUUUCCUUUGGCCCUUUCAAAACUAGACCUGUCAACAUGCAUCAAUUUCUGACCCAAACCAAGAGUAACCUGGAGAAAAUUCGAUAUCAACUCUGCCUCGUGCAGAUAUUGGUAAUGAAGGGACAGUAAGGCAUUGGUCCCUUUAUGGUGUGGGCACCACACACCCACAGGGUAGGGGAGCAGGGCCUUGGUUCAGCUCUGAGGGACAUUCCUGCUUACGUCAGCCUCAUGCUUUAUCCUGGCUAAAACACACACGCCCUCCCCCUGCGGCAAGGAAUGAUCUUAUUUCUUUUAUUCCUAAAGAUGCAAAAUGACGAGGUGAAGUUGUACACUGAGUCCAGAGCAAGUCACAGAAUUGCAGUGAGGACUCACCAGCUCCGUCAAGUUCAGGCUUGGCCCAGGUGCCUCUGGACACAGCCUUUGAAUCGCUUCUCGGCCUUUUGGCCAAGAUCAAGUGUGGACACAGCCUUUGCCUGGGCAUCCGCUCAGCUGCUGGAUUAACAGAAGUUGGAUUCAGAGCAUAUGGGAUCUCUUUUCUUUGAUCCAGUCCAAGAGGAUUGAGUUACUUAGCCCCUCGGAGAAGCUUGGGGAAACAUGGCCCCACCAGGAUGUGGGGGAGCACACGGCCCUGUGAGGCCCGGUCUUGUAGACGGUCCAGU